rnacentral:rRNA from 1 species
AACGAACGCUGGCGGUAUGCCUAACACAUGCAAGUCGAACGAGACCUUCGGGUCUAGUGGCGCACGGGUGCGUAACGCGUGGGAAUCUGCCCUUAGGUUCGGAAUAACUCCCCGAAAGGGGUGCUAAUACCGGAUAAUGUCUUCGGACCAAAGAUUUAUCGCCUGUGGAUGGGCCCGCGUUGGAUUAGCUAGUUGGUAGGGUAAAAGCCUACCAAGGCGACGAUCCAUAGCUGGUCUGAGAGGAUGAUCAGCAACACUGGGACUGAGACACGGCCCAGCCUCCUACGGGAAGCAGCAGUGGGGAAUAUUGGACAAUGGGCGGAAGCCUGAUCCAGCAAUGCCGCGUGAGUGAUGAAGGCCUUAGGGUUGUAAAGCUCUUUUACCCGGGAUGAUAAUGACAGUACCGGGAGAAUAAGCUCCGGCUAACUCCGUG